AGUCGCUAUUCUCUACUGUACGUCAACUUCACUGAUCACUGUGACUUUAUUGUACGCACUCGGUAAGUUUCGCCUGUACUAUAUUUUUCGUUACUGGUUUUUCAGUGUAAACCAUUUACUAGUAUCAUUUAUUCUAGUAAAUGGUAUUGUAUAAUUUCUUUAGGUUGUGAUUAUCUGCUCAUUUGUAUGCUUGUUUCGCGACACGGUCACAAGAUCACGAGCGUCGUUAUCGCCAAACGUCUACACGCAAGUCAACGUUCACCGUCUUUAUGGCGCCGGCUGCCAAAAAAAAAAGUGAGUAUAUAGUAAACAAUUAACGGCCGCAUAGAUCGUAGCCACAGUUCCGGAUAUUAUGUCUUAUCCGGACAUUAUCUGUCUG